UACGUAGGGGGCAAGCGUUGUCCGGAAUCAUUGGGCGUAAAGCGCGUGUAGGCGGCUCGAUAAGUCUGCUGUGAAAGUCCAGGGCUCAACCCUGGGAUGCCGGUGGAUACUGUCGAGCUCGAGUCCGGAAGAGGCGAGUGGAAUUCCUGGUGUAGCGGUGGAAUGCGCAGAUAUCAGGAGGAACACCAAUAGCGAAGGCAGCUCGCUGGGACGGUACUGACGCUAAGGCGCGAAAGCGUGGGGAGCGAACAGG
rnacentral:rRNA from 1 species